AGCCUCGAGGUGUAAACAUGUCAGAUUGCAAAUCUGAAGUAGCAGUAUAACCCCUGCCGGGGCUU
rnacentral:tRNA from 1 species